rnacentral:misc_RNA from 1 species
GACAAUAAGAAAAAUCAAUCAGUUAGAAAAUUUUAACGUCCUCGUGAUGAAAUCUAUGAAUUCAUCCAAUACUGGAUAUAGCUCUACAAAUCCCUAACAAUGAAAUCAUACUCCAAAUCCCUUCUAAAACUGAUGCUUUGCCACGCAUGCAUAGACUUCAAAUUGUUAUUAUAAUAGUAAAAUUACAUCCUCAGGUGAGCAUGAAGGGAACAGAGUGUAUGCUGAAGUUGGGACACUACCAAAGAUGAGGACUCCCAGGAUCUCUGGAAUCAUAGUGGCUAAACUAAUUAUGUGACAGGCUCAUCAAAGCAAUUAAGCAAUUCAUUGGUAUCAGAUGACCCUUACAAUUUUGCAUUAAACUUCAUGUUUCCAAGAUCCUAGCCACCGAUUAUACAUGUGUUUCAAACAUUUCAAUUAAUACUACUCUUUCCAAAAAUAUAAAAAAAAAAUAUGCAUCCUCCCAAGCAGGUCGGCUACACUGAUCCAAUCCAAUAUGUGCUAUGGAGAUGGAGAGGCAGCCAAUUUACUAUUACCAUUAAAUUUUGGAUAAGUUAUUUGAAAAAAUAGAAAAUUGCAGCUAUGGCCCAGCUCCCAGUUGGUCAACUAAUUACAUGAUGUGCAAAUUGUAUGAGAUUUUAUCUAAUAUGCUAAUAUAACUUCCACAUAUUUUCCCAGCGGCCAAGAGCAU